rnacentral:rRNA from 1 species
GACGAACCGUGCGAACGUUGUUCGGAAUCACUGGGCUUAAAGGGCGCGUAGGCGGCCCCCCAAGUCAAGGGUGAAAUCUUUCGGCUUAACCGGAAAAGUGCCUUUGAUACUGGGGGGCUCGAGGGAGGUAGGGGCGGACGGAACUUCCGGUGGAGCGGUGAAAUGCGUUGAUAUCGGAAGGAACGCCGGUGGCGAAAGCGGUCCGCUGGCCCUCUACUGA